AAAAUAAGCAGUGACUUCAGAGAGCGAAGUGGCGUGCGGUGUAUGCACAGCUCUUCGUGUCGCGAAUCGGCCGAACGGAUAUACGUAUUGCCUGUCUCUCUGCGAGAGCAGGAAAAACCGUACCACUUCCUUGUAGAGCCGCCGCUUCAAGCAGGCACCUUGUGGUCCACUGAGACGAAAAUGGGGUUCGACGGGACACGGGGCUGUAUACUUGUUUUACGCUAGCGCCGAAGAAAGCGUAGUCAUUCACACACGAGUCACUUCUUUCAGCGAUGAAUGCGCGUGCUGACUUGAGCGUUUAGUUAUCGUUCGCUGCUGCACGUGCCUGUGUUUUUACGGAACCGGUAUCUCGUGCAAAACAUGUUUACUCGCGGAACCCUCUGGAAGGCACGUGCCUUGGUUCGAACCGCGAGUCCACUGAAGCAUGGAACCACUAUCAAGAAAACCCCAGGCUUCGCCUGGAACGCUUCACCUCAUUUCCCGAGAAAAAGGGUGGGGGAUUUACCCGUCAGAAGUUGCUCGGACUCGCGAGUCUCACCGGUGAAACGCUCCCUCGAUGGAUUGCCAGUGUGUGUCGACGGUAUCGGGGAUUACCGGUUUUUGAAGUUAGCCCCGCUGCUGAGCGGGAACCCAGAGCCACAGAAAAGAAUUCAAAAGUCGAGGACUGUUUGUCGAUUGCUGGCGUGUACCGUGCCAAAAGUGUCGGAUUCAGUUGUGUUUGCAAGUGGUAGACAAAAGUGCAAGCAAACUGGUGUGCCCCACAAUGGGAAUGAUCUCGAAGCCCGCAACUGGUACAGGGGAAAUCUGAAUCCGUGGUGAGGGAGAUACUGUGGCUUUCGGUCUCACGACAUAUCUUUUGUUCUGUCUCACGCGACUUGCCUUCGAGGUACCAUGGUUUUAUAUCCGGUACGAAACUACAACGAUCGCCAACAUUUUUUUGCGCGUUUUGCGUCACUUGCCAUUUGCUUACGUCCAUAACCGGUGCAUCCCACUACGCACGUUCUCCGCCCUCCGUUCAUUUCCUUUUCCGUUGCCCCAUGUCGCAGACGGCAAGCCUUCCUAACGGUUUCCUGGCGUACGGCCGUGUCUCCGUCUUUCCCGUGCCGCGGGGACUGUUCGUCAUCACCCAGUCACUGCCACCGCUAGGCCUAGGCCGAAACCGGGGCAAAGCCUUCCAGUCUCGGCGUGAACUCCACGCCGUCAGCAGCCGGUGUACUGUGAGGCGUCUGAUAGAGAAACGUCUAUCUGUAGAGCAGUCGUCGUGUGAACCUGUCAACCAAUCUAUCGCUGGAAAGAACAUGAAACAGCUCCAGUUGCGAG
rnacentral:lncRNA from 1 species